CCUACGGGUGGCAGCAGUGAGGAAUAUUGGUCAAUGGCCGAGAGGCUGAACCAGCCAAGUCGCGUGAGGGAAGAAUGUCCUAUGGAUUGUACACCUCUUUUGUCAGGGAGCAAAGUCACCCACGUGUGGGUGUUGGAGAGUACCUGAAGAAAAAGCAUCGGCUAACUCCGUGCCAGCAGCCGCGGUAAUACGGAGGAUCCGAGCGUUAUCCGGAUUUAUUGGGUUUAAAGGGAGCGUAGAUGGGUUGUUAAGUCAGUUGUGAAAGUUUGCGGCUCAACCGUAAAAUUGCAAUUGAUACUGGCAGUCUUGAGUACAGUUGAGGUAGGCGGAAUUCGUGGUGUAGCGGUGAAAUGCUUAGAGAUCACGAAGAACUCCGAUUGCGAAGGCAGCUUACUAAACUGCCACUGACAUUGAUGCUCGAAAGUGUGGGUAUCAAACAGGAUUAGAUACCCCAGUAGUC
rnacentral:rRNA from 1 species